UACGAAGGGUGCAAACGUUUGCUCGGAAUUAUUGGGCGUAAAGCGCACGUAGGCGGCUUAGCAAGUCGGAAGUGAAAUCCCACGGCUCAACCAUGGAAGUGCUUUCGAAACUGCUGAGCUUGAGUACGAAAGAGGAUCGCGGAAUUCCCGGUGUAGAGGUGAAAUUCGUAGAUAUCGGGAGGAACACCAGUGGCGAAGGCGACUAUCUGGGCUGCGAACUGACGCUGAGGCGCGAAGGCUAGGGUAGCAAACAGG
rnacentral:rRNA from 1 species